UGUGAAGUGUGCGAGCAAGCA
rnacentral:siRNA from 1 species